UUUCCACUAAUCUUCCUCAGGAGACGGGGUUUGAGCGCGUGCCUCCGGAGCGAAGCAAGGAAGCCCCGCCGAGCAAGGGGGAAAGCGGCGGGCGGCGGACCAAAGCUUUCCUCACGAGGUCAGAGAAGCUCCCCGUCGGGGCCUUUCCGUUCGGCAGCCGGGCGAGUCCGCGAAGCUCCCCGGACGCGCGUUUUAUGGCGCUAGGACCCAGGCAGAGCGGAGCGAGUUCCGAAUGAGGCUGCGGCGGCCGUGUGAAAGUGAAUGGCUGGGGUGCGUCGGGAAAGUGGCCACGGAGCAAGGCGCCUCAGGAUUCCCGGCGGGCUGGGCAACGGCGCGUCCGGCGGCAACAGCAGCCCCUAGGGGGUCUCUCUCCACCUGCCCGCGGCCGCAGCGCUGAGGAUGUAUCAAAUGAAGGACAAGAACAUCCACUGGAAAAGAGGAAAGCCAUCAUAUGAAGGCUGCUGUUUUCCUUUUUGCUACUUGUUUGCAUUUUCUUAUGAUCUCAGACAAAUGAUCACAGAUUAUUGUAAGUAUCUUAAUAAGAGCCGCCAUGGUACAGUGGUUAGAAUGUUGUAAACCACUUAGAGAGGGCUCUAAAGCACUCUAUGUAACCUAUUGCUAUUGCUAUAAUCUCACAUGGAUAUAUAACUAGUCACAAUGGAAAUGUGUUGAAAUAAUUCAGAGAAAUGUAGGUUCUUACAAUGAAGACAGUGCUUUGAUUAGUCAUAUUGACUAAAUUUGCCAUCAAAGAUUACAAGGAACAGAUAAGAUAAGCAGAUGGCGUCAGUUUCUGGCCCAUGACAAUUUCACCUAAG